GAAUGCACAAUUUUGUUUUUGUUUUUUCCAACAGGACAAUGCUCGUCUGCAUACUGCUGCUAUCUCAAGAACUUGCCUUGAAGACACAAAGGCUAUGUCAUGACCUGUCACAUUGCCAAACCUGUCCGUGAUUGAAAAUGUGUCAGAUGCUAUGGGACGUGCUAUCAACACUCCAGCACUACUUCUUUAACCCCACUCCGAGACAUCUGUGUGUGUUGGACUACUAAGAGAGAGCAGAGCUGCUCGUGGCUGGAGCGAGGAAAGAGGACACACUCCUCUGGAUUUCCCGCCGAUUUACUUCCCGCGUGCUCGGUCUUCGUGGUUCUGCUGCUUUCUAUCAGGAUCUUUUAUGUGACCAAGAGCAUCGGAAAAGGGAAAUUCGGAGGAGGGGUAUUCUUUCAUUCCUCUGGUCUGGGCAGCUCAGUCAUCCCGUCGUCCUUAAACUGUCAUCCUCAGUAAUGAUCACACCCUGCUGGGGCAGGUGUAGUGUGUGUGUGAGUUAAUGUCACCAUGAAACCCACCUGAGCAGCUCCGAGGAGUCUCCACUCUGGUUCUCUGC
rnacentral:lncRNA from 1 species